rnacentral:lncRNA from 1 species
CCUGUGUGCCUGAGGCCUUCUGAAGCCUGGUGAUCCUAGGCUCCUGCCUGAAAUGACGCUGGUGCUUGUAGGAGGUGUUUUUCCCUGGACUGUGAGACUAGUGAGAUGCUGAAGCUGAACACGGAGCAGAUUUGCAGCUGAUUGCCCUGAUUGGAGCCUGGGAUGCGCUGUGCCCAAGCCAAGCAUCUGAGGGGUGCCAGCUCCAUUGCUGCCAGGGCUGGGAAAAGCACGGCCGUGCGUGGGGCUCCCUGUGGCCUCCUCAGUGGGACAGCCUUUCACUGCUGACACGUGUCUCAGAGGAACGUGUCCCAUCCUGAAGAAGCUGAUUAAGGUAAGCAUGCAGAAGGAUGGUGACACUGAUACUUCAGCAUCAGGAAGCAAGAGGAGAAAAUCUAUUGAACUUUCUGUUGCACUGCACAACCUGAUGACAUCUUGAUAUUUCUGACAAAUCCAUUCUGGUGGUUUCCUUACUGACCCUCCAUGUCUGCACUGUCCUCAGCUCAGACCUCAGUGCACCUGUUUGUUUUUUUAAACCAUAGGCAGAAUUAGAUUGAAGCUGCCCAGAAACAAAGCACCUCUGCCUUCACAUCCACUUUCACUGUUUCUUGCAAUUCUUAGAGUUGAUUUUUACCUCCCUCUUCCAGGUGCUGUCACAGCAUUCAGACAUCAGCAUGAAGCUUGGGCAGCCUCAUCCAUAAGCUGUGGGCUCCUCAUGGGUGCUGCUGGCUAGGGGGGAGGUUUCCCUCUUUUGGGGCUGAUGGGAAGCGCAGCUGAUGCUUGCAGUGGAACUGGAAGAAAAUCAUGGUCCUGUGCACACAGGGGAUGGCCAGCUCUGUCACUAGAAACAUAAUCCCUCUUUUGGAACAAUGCUUCUGACAAGUGAAGUCAUCUUCAUCAUUAGUUUGGAUCAUGACAGAAGAAUAAACUUUCCAGAAGAUACUGCUUGUCCUUCACUUAUGUAAGUUAGGGAGGACUCUGGGCUCCCACUGAACAUUAAAAAUCUCCUCUUCUCUGUACUUUUCCAGCUUGUUUGAUAGAGGUAUUUUGGUAGAUUUAAUAAUAAUAAUAAAACUUUU